rnacentral:rRNA from 1 species
UGUUCUUUAAAUAGGGACUUGUAUCAACGGCAUCACGAGGGUUAUACUGUCUCCUUUUUCUAAUCAGUGAAACUGAUCCCCCCGUGAAGAAGCGGGGAUAAACUUAUAAGACGAGAAGACCCCAUGGAGCUUAAAACCAACUAUAUUAUUCUUCAUCCCAAAUCAUAUUAGUGUUAGAAUGCUAUAUAGUAGUUUUAGAUUGGGGGGAUCGUGGAGUAUAACUUAACCUCCUUGACAAACGGGCCCUGCCCUUAUUUAAGAAGUACCCUUCUAAAAAUCAACAAAUUGAUGUUUAAUGACCCAAAUUUUUGAUCAACGAACCAAGUUACCCUGGGGAUAACAGCGCAAUCUACUUCAAGAGUUCAUAUCGACAAGUGGGUUUACGACCUCGAUGUUGGAUCAGGAUAUCCAAGUGGUGCAGCCGCUA